UGACGUGCCCAGCACAUCAAAUGUUGGCAGCAUCUCUUUGGAAUAUUUAAAUGUAUUUGGAAGUGCUGAUAGUUUGCUUCAUUUUUGGUAAGAUGACUUCAAAUGGAGAAGACCUGUUAAAUGAGAAGAUGCUUGUAAAAAUUGCAUUUGACAGAGAGAAAAGAAAUUUACCUUUUAACAUUUAAUGAAAGGUGGAACACGGUUAGCAGCAGUGCAAGCUCCCCUGGCAGCAUGCUGUAGUCUAAACUACUCUCCAAGGACCAUCUCAAGAGAGGGAUGAAGAGUUGACAUGACAAAUCACCAAGCUUGUCUGCGUCGGAGCCCAGAACUCAGGUUUUCUAGCAUCCAGUAUCAGCGUCAUUCUACUAGACCACGGUUGUGCCUCUCCAAUCACCAAAAUAGUGGAUGCAAAGUAAGGCCCUGAUCCAGUAAAGUAAUUGAACAUCUGAGUAGUUCCACUGAGGUUCCAUAUGUUCAAAACGUGCUUGGAUUGGAGCCUAGC